rnacentral:hammerhead_ribozyme from 1 species
AUUCAUCUGACGAGUCCCAAAUGAGACGAAACGCGCAUCCUGGAU